UGUCAUGACUUCUGAGCUGUUUGAAAGAGAAUGUUCUCAGAAUCAAGCCAUUUGGAAUGGACAGAAUGAAACAGAAGUCAAAGAGCUGUCUACACGUCCUUCCCAAGCUAUAAUUAAGAUGGAAGCUCAUUUGCCAUUCUGAGGAUUGGUGCAAUCAAGCAUAUGACAGCAAGAUUUUGGAACAUUUUUAUCAGUUUUGGAACCACAGCUCCUCCAUGGCCAAAUUUCUCUUUAUGUCUCAGGUUUCAGAGCAUGGCCUAAUAUUUCCCGUACAGACAGGCCGCUCCGCUGCCCUUCUGAUUCAGCUGACCACUGUGCACUGUAGCGACGUGCAAGGGGUAGGAGUGGACACAUUCCAGCUCGCUGGGGUUUGGAACGGCACCUCUCAUUCCCAGAGAAGGGAUUCUCUGUGGAGGCUGAGUUGGCAGUGCUCAAGCUUGCCUUGCGGUUGGCACGUAGGCCAUCAGCAAUCAUCUGAGUAUCAACCUGCCAAGCUGAGGCCGUCCUGGGGCACAGAGAUUUAUUGCUAACAGAGGAAAGAAAAGAAACCAUUUCCUUAAUUCUGCUUUGCAGGCCACUCUCAUGGAAAGGAACUCCCCUGCUGCCCUGAUCAGUUCAAUAUCUAACUCAUCAUGCCUGUGUUCUUCCCCAGCAGCUCAGGCCGGUCUGCUACCAGGAACAGGUGCCAAAUCAGAGUGUGGAAUUUUCCCAGCAGGCCCCAGGGUGUGUUGCUGCCAAGGCAACUGUGGUAGGGUUGGGGAAUAACUAGCGAACCACAAAUCCAGAAAAGGAAGAGGAGGCCUCCUUUUCGGCUUGGGCCAACUCAGAUGUGCCAGUAAAUAUGAAUUGGUUGGAUUUGACUUCUCAAUGAUACACAAUGAUUCUCUACCUGGACUAACACCACAGAGGAUGCCAUAGAAACUUCUGAGAUUUCGAUGAUAAAUAUAAAAAGUUGAAGCUUUGGGGAGCCCAAGCCAGGAAGCUGGAGAAGUCCUCAUCUCCUGAAGCUGCAAGAAGAGACAGAGCCCAGCCUGAUAAUCUGAGGACUGAACUUCAAAGGUCACCCAGCCAAAAUAAUCUACUCUGCCUGCCCAAGUGUGAAGCCUAGUGUGAAACCUACUCCAGAGGUGAAACCCCACCAAGAGAUGAAAACCACUUUGGGAAAUACCUUAUGUCUGAUAUUUUCUUCUUCAUUUUUUGAUAGGACUUUUUUUUUCCUGCUCAAAAGUGACUAUCUGGUAGUACAUUCCCAGAGGAUCCUGGCCAGGUAACAGAGAAGUCUGAAAGGCUACCUUGAGAUAAGGUACUAACAGCCUGUGGUAGCUUUAAUAGAAUAUUCUGGUUUAAAUAACAACCUUGAACAUCCAACUUAUUCAGAUUCAACAAACAUCUAUCGAGUAUUUACCCUCUGCAGAUAAGACAAGGCCAUGUAUUAGAUGUUUCCUCAUGUGUUAUAUCAUUUAGUGAUUACAACAAACAUCAAAGGUAGCAUCCCUACUUUACAAAGUAAAACACAGAUACUCAGAAAGGGUAAUUUAUUCACUGAAAGUCAAAGUGAGAUGAAUUCAAACAUAGGUCCUCUAACACCCAGGGCACAGACUGAUGAUGUUCAUGACCAGCUGAGUUUAUGAAAUCUCUUACGCUGUCUGUCCCUAAUCUGCCUAUACAUUAGCAAGGUGUAGAGAAGCACCAUGCUUCUGUCCAACAUAACAGGGUUAGAAGGUCACUUUUCUGCAUGUUUCUACAUUAUUUUCAAAACUGCCAUUCAUCUGCGUUUUCAAAUAAAUAUCAACAAAAUUA
rnacentral:lncRNA from 1 species